UACGGAGGGGGCUAGCGUUGUUCGGAAUUCCUGGGCGUAAAGGGCUCGUAGGCGGCCAACUAAGUCGGACGUGAAAUCCCUCAGCUUAACUGGGGAACUGCGUCCGAUACUGGAUGGCUUGGAUUUGGGAGAGGGAUGCGGAAUUCCAGGUGUAGCGGUGAAAUGCGUAGAUAUCUGGAGGAACACCGGUGGCGAAGGCGGCAUCCUGGACCAAUAUUGACGCUGAGGAGCGAAAGCUAGGGGAGCAAACGGG
rnacentral:rRNA from 1 species